UGGGAAUUCGCCAAGCGGUAAGGCAUCAGAUUUUGAUUCUGACACGCCCUGGUUCGAAUCCAGGAUUCCCAGCCA
rnacentral:tRNA from 1 species